AAAGGAAUCGUUCUGUGCUUGCUUUGAAUUGGAACAACACAGAGAAGAUUAGCAUGGCCCCUGCGCAAGCAUGACAUGCAAAUUUGUGAAACGUUCCAUGUUUAA